UACGGGGGGAGCAAGCGUUGUUCGGAUUUACUGGGCGUAAAGGGCUCGUAGGCGGCUCAGUAAGUCGGGUGUGAAACCUCCAGGCUCAACCUGGAGACGCCACUCGAUACUGCCGUGCUUGAGGACUGGAGAGGAGACUGGAAUUUACGGUGUAGCGGUGAAAUGCGUAGAUAUCGUAAGGAAGACCAGUGGCGAAGGCGGGUCUCUGGACAGUUCCUGACGCUGAGGCACGAAGGCCAGGGGAGCAAACGGG
rnacentral:rRNA from 1 species